UCCGUCUCCCUCUCCCUCUCUCUUCAUUCAUUGCUACACUGUGCUGCUGUGGAGACCCACUCACUUUUCUUGACACGCUGGAAAGAAGAGACUUUUAACCAGGACCAUGAGGGGCUCCGGUUGCCCGAGAAACGCGCGUGACAGGGCAGACACGUUUGUUGUUCCACAAUCUCGGCUGAGGUCCAAGAGUAACUGGGGCACCCACUUCCUGGAACGACCUACCUGUCAAGAUCUGUUUGACUCCUGCUAAAUCAGACUGACUUGAAACCUCCGCCUCAGUGUGUCGCCGUAUGUGAGCAGAGUGACUGAUCACUGUUCAGUGUUCAGACAGCCACGAUGUUGGACAACGAAGACUUUGUGUUGGACACUUCCCCGCGCGAGCUCACGCAGAACCCGCUCAGGAAGAUCUGGCUGCCCUGCAAAAACGGGCACAUUUUGCAGAGACGGGGUAAGAGGACACGCAUCUGUGGGUGUCAAGUGCCGCAAAGGCUGAGACCGGGGAGGUGAUGCGACGUGUUUUCCUCAAUAUUAUUCAAUCAUAUGUCUGUUUUUGAACUUGUAGAUAUGGCGUUUUGUGUCAUUUUCGCUGUGAUAUUUGGGAUGCUGCGCACCAACAAAGUCGCAUAAAUGUCUUUCUUUUCAAUUUGGUAUAAUUAUGCAUCAUGCGCAAAUUUGUCAGGCUCAUUUUUACCUAAAACAAUUGAGUUAAAUUACACCUGAACAUCUGUUGGGAGAAAUACUUGUAAUCUCACUUAAUUGAAUUUGACCACAUG